GACGAACGCUGGCGGCGUGCCUAAUACAUGCAAGUAGAACGCUGAAGGAGGAGCUUGCUCUUCUGGAUGAGUUGCGAACGGGUGAGUAACGCGUAGGUAACCUGCCUGGUAGCGGGGGAUAACUAUUGGAAACGAUAGCUAAUACCGCAUAAUAGUAGAUGUUGCAUGACAUUUACUUGAAAGGUGCAAUUGCAUCACUACCAGAUGGACCUGCGUUGUAUUAGCUAGUUGGUGGGGUAACGGCUCACCAAGGCGACGACACAUAGCCGACCUGAGAGGGUGAUCGGCCACACUGGGACUGAGACACGGCCCAGACUCCUACGGGAGGCAGCAGUAGGGAAUCUUCGGCAAUGGACGGAAGUCUGACCGAGCAACGCCGCGUGAGUGAAGAAGGUUUUCGGAUUGUAAAGCUCUGUUGUAAGAGAAGAACGAGUGUGAGAGUGGAAAGUUCACACUGUGAC
rnacentral:rRNA from 1 species